UACGUAGGGGCAAGCGUUGUCCGGAUUAUUGGGCGUAAAGAGCGUGUAGGCGGCCAGGUAGGUCAGCGUGAAAACUCGGAGGCUCAACCUCGAGACGCCGGUUGAAACCAUCGUGGCUAGAGUCCGGAAGAGGAGAGUGGAAGUUCCGUGGAUGUAGCGGUGAAUGACGCAGAUAUCAGGAAGAACACCCGUGGCUAAGGCGGCU
rnacentral:rRNA from 1 species